GAGGGUAUAGCUCAAGUGGUAGAGUACAUGCUUAGCAUGCACAACAUCCUGGGUUCAAUUCCCCAGUACCUCCU
rnacentral:tRNA from 1 species